rnacentral:rRNA from 1 species
GACGAACGCUGGCGGCGUGCCUAAUACAUGCAAGUAGAACGCUGAAGGAGGAGCUUGCUUCUCUGGAUGAGUUGCGAACGGGUGAGUAACGCGUAGGUAACCUGCCUGGUAGCGGGGGAUAACUAUUGGAAACGAUAGCUAAUACCGCAUAAUAGUAGAUGUUGCAUGAUAUUUGCUUAAAAGGUGCAAUUGCAUCACUACCAGAUGGACCUGCGUUGUAUUAGCUAGUUGGUGAGGUAACGGCUCACCAAGGCAACGAUACAUACCCGACCUGAGAGGGUGAUCGGCCAAACUGGGACUGAGACACGGCCCAGACUCCUAGGGGAGGCAGCCGUAGGGAAUCUUCGGCAAUGGACGGAAGUCUGACCGAGCAACGCCGCGUGAGUGAAGAAGGUUUUCGGGUCGUAAAGGUCUGUUGUAAGAGAAGAACGAGUGUGAGAGUGGAAAGUUCAGACAGUGACGGUAUCUUACCAAAAAGCGACGGCUAACUACGUG